CGCAUUGGCGGCAGCUACACAUGCAGUCGAGCGGCAGCGGGGAGUAGCUUGCUACUCUGCCGGCGAGCGGCGGACGGGUGAGUAAUGCUUGGGAACUUGCCUUUAGGAGGGGGAUAACCACGGGAAACUGUGGCUAAUACCGCAUAAUGUCUACGGACCAAAGCAGGGGAUCUUCGGACCUUGCACCUAGAGAUAGGCCCAAGUGAGAUUAGCUAGUUGGUGGGGUAAAGGCCCACCAAGGCGACGAUCUCUAGCUGUUCUGAGAGGAUGAUCAGCCACACUGGGACUGAGACACGGCCCAGACUCCUACGGGAGGCAGCAGUGGGGAAUAUUGCACAAUGGGGGAAACCCUGAUGCAGCCAUGCCGCGUGUGUGAAGAAGGCCUUCGGGUUGUAAAGCACUUUCAGUGGUGAGGAAGGAUGUAAGAUUAAUACUCUUGCAUAUUGACGUUAGCCACAGAAGAAGCACCGGCUAACUCCGUGCCAGCAGCCGCGGUAAU
rnacentral:rRNA from 1 species